UAGGGAAUCUUGCGCAAUGGGCGAAAGCCUGACGCAGCGACGCCGCGUGAGCGAUGAAGGCCCUCGGGUUGUAAAGCUCUGUGGAGAGAGAAGAAUAAGCGCAAGCCAAUACCUUGCGUGAUGACGGUAUCUCUUUAGCAAGCACCGGCUAACUCUGUGCCAGCAGCCGCGGUAAGACAGAGGGUGCAAACGUUGUUCGGAAUCACUGGGCGUAAAGCGCGUGUAGGCGGCUUGGCAAGUCGGGUGUGAAAUCCCGGGGCUCAACCCCGGAAGUGCACUCGAUACUGCCAAGCUAGAGUCCUGGAGAGGAAGGUGGAAUACUUGGUGUAGAGGUGAAAUUCGUAGAUAUCAAGUAGAACACCGGUGGCGAAGGCGGCCUUCUGGACAGUGACUGACGCUGAGACGCGAAAGCGUGGGGAGCAAACAGG
rnacentral:rRNA from 1 species